rnacentral:rRNA from 1 species
GACGAACGCUGGCGGCGUGGAUUAGGCAUGCAAGUCGAACGGUAUCAUCCUUUCGGGGGUGAGAGAGUGGCGAACUGGUGAGUAACACGUAGGUUAUCUACCCUCAAGACGGGGACAACCCAGGGAAACUUGGGCUAAUACCGGAUGUGAGCAACUUUUAGUUGUUUGAAAGGUGGCGUAAGCUGUCGCUUGGGGAUGAGCCUGCGUCCUAUUAGUUAGUUGGUGAGGUAACGGCUCACCUAGGCAAUGAUAGGUAGGCGGCCUUAACGGGUGGUCGCCCACACUGGGAUUGAGAUACGGCCCAGACUCCUACGGGAGGCAGCAGUCGAGAAUAGUCUACAAUGGUCGGAAGACUGAUAGUGCGACGCCGCGUGAACGAUGAAUCCCUUCGGGGUGUAAAGUUCUUUUAUAUGUGAGCAGUGCUUCUUAUAUUAACAGUAUGGGGAGAGAGAUAUUAGCAUAUGAAUAAGCAACGGCUAACUCCGUGCCAGCAGCCGCGGAAACUCGU